GUGAGUGGGAACUGACUUAAGAAACCCGAGAAGCUGAAAGCUGACUGUUCAUGGGGAGCCAUCAGGACUCAAGGCAAUUUAUAGAUCCUCAGAAAGCCUCAGGACUGGAGGGACCAGGACUCUCCAAAGACCAAGGUGCAGAGCAGAACUAAAACAGAAGGGCUGGCUGGUUACCCGUCUGGGGGACAACUGGGUUUCUAGUCUCCUACUCCAGCUGGCACAGGCAGGACAUGACCCCUCCCAGCCACAGCAGGAGGCUCCCAUGCGGGAGAGACGGGAAGAAGAUAAUCUGAGAUGGUGUUCACACAGGGCUCAGCACCGGGCCUGGGACGCAGCAGGUCCUUGGUCAAGAUUCGGGCUGGGCUCACCUAGGUAAUUCUUCUGUUCCUCACGGCAUGACUGAAGUCACGUAUUCAGCAGGCAGCUGUUCUGGUCUGGAGGGUUCACUAACAUGCUUGGUUUCCUGGUAGGGAUGGCAGACAGGCUGCACUGAGCUGGACUGUCGACUAGAGUGACUGCGUGGAUUCUCCAGGGUGACGGCCUCCAGGUAGUCGGACUUUCCACAUAGCGACUCAGGGUUUCUGGAGAGAAUGUUCAAGAGGCCUCGAUGGAAGCUGCAAGGCUUCUUAUGACCUAGGCUCCAAGUCCAGGAAUAUAAUUUCCACUAUAUUCCAUCAAUCAGAUAAGUCAUUCAGUCCAGCCCAGGUACAAAAGGAGGAACAUUAAACUCCAUCUCACAAUGGGAGAAAUAGCAAAGAACUUGUGUCACCUUUAAUCAACCAGCAAGUCAUCCAGGUUGACUUGCCUUUGAGGAACGUGCUGGGAAUCGGUGGGACUGAUGUUGGAGAGGGACUUGAAUGUCACGACAGGGGCUGAGGAGAUAGUAACAAGGUGGGGAGUGAAGGUUCUGGAGUCAGAUUCAAAUUGGAAUCCCAGCUCUGCCACUUACAACACAUGCACCAAGCAGGCUGUUCCUUUCUCUGAGCCUCAGUGUUCUCAUCUGUAAAACGAGGAGCUCAGUUCCUAUUUCACAGCAUUGCUGUAAAGAGUAAAUGGGAUGGUGCUUAUAAAGUGCUUCUCAGAGUACCUGGCUCUGAGUAUGUCUCAAUAAAUGGAGCCGUUAUUAUUCAUCCUGAGUAACAUGGAGAGCCAGGCAAGGGUCUUACAAAAAAACCCUUUGAAGAAUCAUUUUUGACCCACUCUCUCCCCCACUCCCACUACAACCCAACCCAAGUCCAGCUGAUUUCACCUCUUAAAUGUAGCCUGAAUCCAGUGUUCCCCGUCUCCCCCACCGUCACCAGCAUCUCCACCUGGACCACUGGGUUGCCUCCUUCCUGCUUCAUCUGGCCCCUCUGUCAGGCCUUCCCCUCACAGCAGCGAGCCCAGGCUUAACCUGCAACGUGCACACAAGCCACCUGGGGUGCUUGGUAAAAUACAGAUUCCAGUUCAGUAGGUCUAUGGUGGGGUCUGAGAGUCUGCGGGUCUAACGGGCUCCCAGAUGAUCUCAAUGCUGAUGAUUCCUGGACCACACUUCGAGUAGCUGGAGAGUAUUUUUCCAAAUAAAAGUUUGACUCUA